UACAGAGGGUGCAAGCGUUAAUCGGAAUUACUGGGCGUAAAGCGAGCGUAGUCGGUUAUUUAAGUCGGGUGUGAAAGCCCCGGGCUCAACCUGGGAAUUGCAUUCGAUACUGGAUAGCUAGAGUUCGGCAGAGGGAAGCGGAAUUUCCGGUGUAGCGGUGAAAUGCGUAGAUAUCGGAAGGAACAUCAGUGACGAAAGCGGCUUCCUGGACCAGAACUGACGAUCAGGCUCGAAAGCGUGGGGAGCAAACAGG
rnacentral:rRNA from 1 species